CCUAGGAAACAAGAUGCUAAUACCGGAUAACAACAGAUGAUGCCUAUCAACUGUUUAAAGAUGGUUCUGCUAUCACUCUUGGAUGGACCUGCGGUGCAUUAGCUAGUUGGUAGGGUAACGGCCUACCAAGGCGAUGAUGCAUAGCCGAGUUGAGAGACUGAUCGGCCACAUUGGGACUGAGACACGGCCCAAACUCCUACGGGAGGCAGCAGCC
rnacentral:rRNA from 1 species